AUUUGUCGGUCCCCGGAGCAUCGAUAUCUCAGGGUGCAGGUGCAGAAACUGGUCACUAUUGUUAAACUUGCCAGUCCGGUGCGAAUUCGCAGCACAUCUAAACCUAGGAGACCUCGUUUCACCGGGUAUCCUAACGGAGUUUUUUCUACACCUUCCGCUCUCCACUAGAACACCGAAUGAGAACCGGACAUCCAACAAUGUACAACAAGACAUGUGCGCCGACAUCUGCGAGAUUUGUGAUCGGCCGGGGUUUAAGCGAUUGCUG
rnacentral:misc_RNA from 1 species